rnacentral:misc_RNA from 1 species
CAAGCUCCUCCAUUGACGGAGGACAGAUAAAGAUAAAAAUUGCCUCCAAAGAGCUAGCCCUCACGGAUCUUGCCCCUUGAACAUCAAUGUCAAGAAUACAUCUCUUCCCUGCAUCUGCCACUGCCUCAACAGCUUCAAUACUGGUUCCAUAGAGAUUUCCAUGAACAGAAGCAAACUCGAGAAAUUUCUCAUCUUCUAUCUCUUUCUCCAUAACACUUCUCUCAGUGAAAUG